rnacentral:rRNA from 1 species
AUGGGGCAUCUCAACCCGCUGGCGUGCGUGGGUUUCGCCGGCAGCAAGGGCGCGAAGCGUGCCAAGGCGGCCACUACGGAGAACGCGAAGACGACGAAGCCUGGUCCAACCCCGCCGGUCGCCGCGAACGACGCGUCGGCAGGAAGCCAGGCCGCUACCGCAGCCGCUGAGACGUCGUCCGCUGGGACGAAACGAAGAGGCGCGGCAGGCAAGAGCGCCGGCGUCAACGCGCGCCCGCGCCCGCGCCCGCGCGAUCACGAAGGAGAGGCUACGGUGUGCCGUGGCGGUUUCAUGCCCUACCGGCCGCUCUACAGCUACGACAUGGACCCCCUUGCCAACUGCAUGUACUUUUACGGCUCCGUCGGCGGAAUCAUGUGCUGA